rnacentral:lncRNA from 1 species
CUUUAUCUAUAUGUCAAAUGACCCAAGUUUGGUUGAUGUAGGGGCAACCUAUCCAUGCUUCAAAGUACCAAGAAUGAAUCCUUGGUCAUUCAUUGGUAGGUUUGAAACAUAGAAGGUUCAAGCAACCCUAAUCAAUCCAAUAUCAUGACAACCAUAGACUUCAUUAGCCACUAAGUUCAAGACCUCAUAAGUCAAUGAAAAAAUGUUCAAAUGACAUGAAGCAAAGCAUAAAUAAAUAGUAGAGACAAAAAU